AACGCGAAGAACCUUACCUGGGCUCGAAGCGCAGUGGAUAUGGGUGGAAACAUCCCUUUCUCGCAAGAGACUGCUGCGGAGGUGCUGCAUGGCUGUCGUCAGCUCGUGUCGUGAGAUGUUGGGUUAAGUCCCGCAACGAGCGCAACCCUUGUCCUGUGUUGGCAUGCCGCAAGGCGCAACUCGCAGGAGACCGCCAGCGAUAAGUUGGAGGAAGGUGGGGAUGACGUCAAGUCAUCAUGGCCUUUAUGUCCAGGGCCACACACGUGCUACAAUGGGCGGUACAAAGCGCUGCCAACCCGCGAGGGGGAGCUAAUCGCCAAAAACCGUCCUCAGUUCGGAUUGCAGGCUGCAACUCGCCUGCAUGAAGCUGGAAUCGCUAGUAAUGCUAUAUCAGAACGAUAGCGUGAAUACGUUCCCGGGCCUUGUAACACCGGAGUA
rnacentral:rRNA from 1 species